rnacentral:rRNA from 1 species
AGAGUUUGAUCCUGGCUCAGGACGAACGCUGGCGGCGUGCCUAACACAUGCAAGUCGAACGGGACCAGGGGCAACUCUGGUUCAGUGGCGGACGGGUGCGUAACACGUGAGGAACAUGACUUUCGGCGGGGGAUAGCCGGCCCAACGGCCGGGUAAUACCGCGUACGACCUGUCGGGGACAUCCCCGGUUGGUGAAAGCAGCAAUGCACCGAAAGAGUGCCUCGCGGCCUAUCAGCUAGUUGGUGGGGUAACGGCUCACCAAGGCGACGACGGGUAGCUGGUCUGAGAGGAUGGCCAGCCACAUUGGGACUGAGACACGGCCCAGACUCCUACGGGAGGCAGCAGUGGGGAAUAUUGCGCAAUGGGCGAAAGCCUGACGCAGCGACGCCGCGUGUGGGAUGACGGCCUUCGGGUUGUAAACCACUGUCGGGAGGGACGAAUGCGCCGCAAGGCGAGUGACGGUCCCUCCAAGAAGCACCGGGCUUACUUCCGUGCCAGCAGCCGCGGUA